AGAGUUUGAUCAUGGCUCAGAUUGAACGCUGGCGGCAUGCUUAAUACAUGCAAGUCGAACGGUAACAGAUUCUUCGGAAUGCUGACGAGUGGCGGACGGGUGAGUAAUACAUAGGAAUCUGCCCAUGUAGUGGGGGACAACUUGGGGAAACUCAAGCUAAUACCGCAUAAUUCCUACGGGAUAAAGAGGGCCACUGCUUGCAAGCUCUUGCUACUGGAUGAGCCUAUGUCGGAUUAGUUAGUUGGUAAGGUAAUGGCUUCCCAAGACAGCGAUCCGUAGCUGGUUUGAGAGGAUGAUCAGCCACACUGGGACUGAGACACGGCCCAGACUCCUACGGGAGGCAGCAGUAGGGAGUAUUGGACAAUGGGCGCAAGCCUGAUCCAGCAAUGCCGCGUGUGUGAAGAAGGCCUGCGGGUUGUAAAGCACUUUCAAUUGGGAAGAAAGAUUAUGAGUUAAUACCUUAUAA
rnacentral:rRNA from 1 species